UGUGUCGACGACAUAUCUUUCAAGUGUCUGACUUAUCAACUUUAGACGGUACAUUAUACGUCUACCGUGGUUGUAACGAGUACAGAGAAUCGGGGUUUGGUUCUGGAGAGGCCGCCCGAGAAACGGCGACCACUUCCAAGGAAGGCAGCAGGCGCGCAAAUUACCCACUCUCAAAACGAGGAGGUAGUGAAGAGAAAUAACGAUGUUAGUCUAUUAUAGGCUGACAAUCGGAAUGGGAACACUGUAAACAGGUUAUCGAUUAACAAUUGGAGGGCAAGUCUGGUGCCAGCAGCCGCGGUAAUUCCAGCUCCAAUAAGGAAAACUAAAGUUGCUGUGUUUAAAAAGCUCGUAGUUGAAUUUCUGGUAUUUGUUGCUAGCUGGUCUAACUGGCCAUGUUGGUUAACAGAUCCUCAUUUGCUGGACGGCUGGCGAUGAUCUUCAUCGGUUGUCGUCAGUUGCCAGAACGUUUACUUUGAGAAAAUUAGAGUGCUAAAAGCAGGCUCACGCCUAUAUAUAUUGCAUGGAAUAAUGAAAUAAGAUCUCGGUUUUAUUUCGUUGGUUUUAGAAAUUGAGAUAAUGAUUAAUAGGAUCAGAGGGGGGCGUACGUACUGUGGUGUGAGAGGUGAAAUUCUUGGAUCGCCACAGGACGAACAGCAGCGAAGGCGUUCGCCAAGAAUGUUUUCAUUAAUCAAGAACGAAAGUUUGAGGUUCGAAGACGAUUAGAUACCGUCCUAGUUCAAACCAUAAACGUUGCCAACUGUCUUUUAGAUGCGGUUAUUUAUAUGACUCAUCUGGCGGAUCUCGAGAAAUCUAAGUUUUUAGGUUCCGGGGGAAGUAUGGUUGCAAAGCUGAAACUUAAAAGAAUUGACGGAAGGACACACAAGAAGUGGAGCCUGUGGCCUAAUUUGACCCAACACGGGAAACCUUACUCGGCCAGGACACUUUUAGGAUUGACAGAUUGAGAGCUCUUUCUUGAUUAGGUGGGUGGUGGUGCAUGGUCGUUCGUAGUUCGUGGAGCGAUUUGUCUGAUUAAUUUCGAUAACGAACGAGACUCCGGCUUACUAAAUAGUCUAAAGUUCGAAGGGACUUUUCAAGACUUCUUAGCAGGAUAAGUGGCACUUUUUAAGCCACACGAAAUGGAGCAAUAACAGGUCUGUGAUGCCCUUAGAUGUCCGAGGCUGCACGCGCGCUACACUGGAGAGUUCAGAAUGUUUCUUCCUACUUCGACAGAAGUGGGUAACCAUGAAAUUCUCUUCGUGACUGGGAUCGGAGCUUGCAAUUAUUCUCCGUCAACGAGGAAUUCCUAGUAAGCACUAUUUCAUCAGAAUGUGCUGAUUAUGUCCCUGUCCUUUGUACACACCGCCCGUCGCUACUACCGAUUGAAUGUUUUAGUGAGAUCUUCGGCUUGGUUUUCCGAGC
rnacentral:rRNA from 1 species